AUUGACCGCUGGCGGCAGGCCUAACACAUGCAAGUCGAACGAGUGGCGGAAGGGUGAGUAAUGUCUGGGAAACUGCCCGAUGGAGGGGGAUAACUACUGGAAACGGUAGCUAAUACCGCCUACCAUCGGAUGUGCCCAGAUGGGAUUAGCUAGGAGGUGGGGUAACGGCUCACCUAGGCGACGAUCCCUAGCUGGUCUGAGCGGAUGACCAGCCACACUGGAACUGAGACACGGGCCAGACUCCUACGUGAGGCAGCAGUGGGGAAUAUGGCACAAUGGGCGCAAGUCUUAGGCAGCCAUGCCGCGUGGAUGAAGAAGGCCUUCGGGUUGUAAAGUACUUUCAGCGAGGAGGCGUUACUCGCAGAAGAAGCACCGGCUAACGCCGUGCCAGCAGCCGCGGUAAUAC
rnacentral:rRNA from 1 species